CUAUGGGACUGAUUCAAAGCGCCUUGAAGACAAUUGGAGCCUUUCAUUGACUUCAGUGGGCUUUGAAUCAGGACCUU
rnacentral:miRNA from 1 species